rnacentral:rRNA from 1 species
CACAUACUGUGAGCUCGAUGAGUAGGGCGGGACACGUGGUAUCCUGUCUGAAUAUGGGGGGACCAUCCUCCAAGGCUAAAUACUCCUGACUGACCGAUAGUGAACCAGUACCGUGAGGGAAAGGCGAAAAGAACCCCGGCGAGGGGAGUGAAAAAGAACCUGAAACCGUGUACGUACAAGCAGUGGGAGCCUCUUUUAUAGGGUGACUGCGUACCUUUUGUAUAAUGGGUCAGCGACUUAUAUUCUGUAGCAAGGUUAACCGAAUAGGGGAGCCGAAGGGAAACCGAGUCUUAACUGGGCGUUAAGUUGCAGGGUAUAGACCCGAAACCCGGUGAUCUAGCCAUGGGCAGGUUGAAGGUUGGGUAACACUAACUGGAGGACCGAACCGACUAAUGUUGAAAAAUUAGCGGAUGACUUGUGGCUGGGGGUGAAAGGCCAAUCAAACCGGGAGAUAGCUGGUUCUCCCCGAAAGCUAUUUAGGUAGCGCCUCGUGAAUUCAUCUCCGGGGGUAGAGCACUGUUUCGGCAAGGGGGUCAUCCCGACUUACCAACCCGAUGCAAACUGCGAAUACCGGAGAAUGUUAUCACGGGAGACACACGGCGGGUGCUAACGUCCGUCGUGAAGAGGGAAACAACCCAGACCGCCAGCUAAGGUCCCAAAGUCAUGGUUAAGUGGGAAACGAUGUGGGAAGGCCCAGACAGCCAGGAUGUUGGCUUAGAAGCAGCCAUCAUUUAAAGAAAGCGUAAUAGCUCACUGGUCGAGUCGGCCUGCGCGGAAGAUGUAACGGGGCUAAACCAUG